UUAUAUAUUAAAAGUGCCUAUUUAACGGCAUUUCUUGGUUUAACAGAAUAUACUUUAAAAAUAAAAGAAUAUUCUGUUAAAUUUAAAGAUGUUAAAAGGAUUGGUCUCCCGUUAACAAAUAAACUCAAUAAUUAACCCAAAAAAUUAAACCAACUCCACCAAUAUUCAUUGAAAUCCUUCAAGAUUUUAUCGUCCAAACAAGUAUCUUAUCGGCCGAGGUCAAAUUCAUGGCCGAGUCCGUCCCACCUCAUGAUCAAUACAUCGACGGAGUCGCCACUAGACGUCCCACCACACACACACAGAGCAAAGCUGAAAUACUGAUUGGUGUGGCCAUUAGAAGAAGUCCCAAAUGUUCAUUCUUCAAAGAAUGGUGAGCACUCACUCCCUCUUCUCCGCCUCAGCUUUUGUCUCAGGCCCUAUCUUAAACAAGUCUUCUUUACACUCCAAUCUCAGUCGCAGCUUUACAUGGCCCAAAUUGACAGCCGCAAUAGCAAUAUCUUUCGUUCUCAUCAGAAAAAGUUGCUUGGUUACCUCCUGUUGAGGAGAUUCGUACGGUUCUUGACUGUAUCUGCUUCGAUCGCCACUCCUCAGUCUCAAACCACGACCACCAAUUCAAUUUGCUUUACUUAUGUGUAUUUAUUCUCUGCAUUAGGAAUUUGAUUUCGAGUGGUGUCGACUCCAUUGAAUUCAUGCCUCAAGAUUCUAAUAAAUUUUUGAAAUAAUGUGCGACUCCACACAGUAACUGACAGCUCCAUCUCUCUCUCUCUCUCUCUCUCUCUCUCUCUCUCUCUCUCUCUCUCUCUCUCUCUCUCUCUCUCUUGUCGCCAACCGUAUUUGUCUCAGAGCCACCGCUAUUUAUAGCUUCAUACUCCUCCAUAUGGCGUAAGUGUUUGGUUGGUAACUUGGGUUGGAAUAUUUUUCAUUUCGCAUAUAGGUUAAGUCAUAAUAUGUGGCUUUGAGUAGUUUUUUAUACCACUGCUGUGUGUUCUAUUGUUAAACAUCACAGUUCUUGUCUUUUAUGUGGUUAAAUAUCAAAGCUCUAGAAGGAGGCUCUUUGUGAAUAUAAAUUUUAAUUCUUACUAUUUUAGAAUAUGCUGAUAUGGAAUAAAAUACUUAUUGUUUCAUGAUUUUAAUUCUUCAUCUUUAGCAAAAUAGAUAAUUAAGUUUUGUAGAUAAGCUAUAAUAAAUUCACUUUAUAUGAUUUAGUUUUCUAAAGUUUCUCCCAUGAUCCUUAGCUAUCCUUCCUAUUUUGAAAUUAUAGACAGAACUAGCAUUGUGGAAUUACUAUAGACAGAACUAUGGAUUUGAAUACUUGAAUCCUUACAAUUGUGAAUUUUUCAUUUUAGAUUUGUCAUCUUUGUUAUUUAUCACAUGAUGUUGUGAACAAUUUUAAUCAAACAUUUCAUUUGUCAUGAAUAGAGAUUUAAGAUUUCAAGUCAUUUAUUGUGUAUUUGCUGUAUCAAUUUUAAUAUAUAGUUUUUUUACUAGCUUCCUUUGGCUACUGCAUUCUGUACCAAAGUUUUUCCCACUUGACAUGCAUCUGCUACUUUUAAAAUAUAGUUCUGUCUCCCAACUCAAAAGUACAUUUGUUUCUUUGUCCACUGUUUGAAUUUUUAGUGAUAAUAGUUUCAAUUUAUAAGUUGAUAUAUAUUUUUAUAUAAUUUCCUGCAUCUGCUAAUAAAGCUAAAAUUUUAUUUAACUUCUGCACUUUCCACACCUCUUUCAAGUUCUAACAUCAAAAUCACAAUCUUGCUCAUCAUGUCAUCGAAAUUUUUUGCAACAUCCAUAUGUUUAUGGGGUGUUAGUGUUUGAAGCCAUGGCGACUUACGUGGGGCAAGUUUCUGUGCUAUCCCUCAUUGCUCUUUUCGGUGCAGCCACCCCUGCUAUAAUAACGACUGCUAGAAAAGCAGUAACUUUAUUGCUUUCAUAUGUGAUAUUUACAAAGCCAAUGACUAACCAACAUGGGGCAGGGCUUCUUCUUAUAUCUAUGGGAAUCAUAAUUACGAUGGUCCCAGAAAACCAAAUCCCAAGUUGGAGUUCAGUCCUUGGUAUAUGGAUAUGUAUCCUUCAAAUCAAAGAAAGAAGCUGAGGCAGCUCUAAUCUCUGUUCAAGGAAAGAUUUUGUGCAGUGAUUUCUACUAAAGAACAUGACACAAGAUUGUUGCAAAAAGUGUCAAGAAAGCUAGAAGCUUGGCAGCUUUAGUUUUAGGAGAUACAUGUGUUGUAUCAAUAUCUGUUAGUUUCUUUCACAAUUUUUUUUUUCAUAUACUACCCUGGUUGUAAGUUUGUAAUUGUACUCUUUAUUACUCUGAAUAAAACUAUAUUUAUUGUUAUAAUUAUUUUCUUAAA